CCUACGGGGGGCUGCAGUCGAGAAUUUUUCUCAAUGGGGGCAACCCUGAAGGAGCGACGCCGCGUGGAGGAUGAAUGGCUUCGGCUUGUAAACUCCUGUCAUUUGGGAACUAGUACCAGAAGAGGAAGAGACGGCUAACUCUGUGCCAGCAGCCGCGGUAAUACAGAGGUCUCAAGCGUUGUUCGGAUUCAUUGGGCGUAAAGGGUGCGUAGGUGGCGCCGUAAGUCAGGUGUGAAAUUUCGGAGCUUAACUCCGAAACUGCAUUUGAUACUGCGGUGCUUGAGGACUGGAGAGGAGACUGGAAUUUACGGUGUAGCAGUGAAAUGCGUAGAUAUCGUAAGGAAGACCAGUGGCGAAGGCGGGUCUCUGGACAGUCCUGACACUGAGGCACGAAGGCCAGGGGAGCAAACGGGAUUAGAUACCCUUGUAGUC
rnacentral:rRNA from 1 species